rnacentral:misc_RNA from 1 species
UCACCGUAUCAAGCUUGGCUUGUGGUUGGGCCCUGUCACCUGGUGACAGGUCUGAAAGACAAUUGACUGGUGUCAUACCGACGCUAUAUGCAACGAGCUGACCACAGCACGCAUCUGGCAAUUGUGUGGCCCGGUCUGCACCUCCUUUUUUCUCAA